AUUAUAGAGCUUAAGAAAAAAAUGAAUUUCUUGAGUAAUUUCCCAAAUUAUAUGAUUUUAUUUUUACGAAGACUGCAAGGUUCUCAUUCACUUAAUUUAUUCAGCAAAUAUUUCUUAAGGACCUACUUUAGAACUCUUGUUGUGACUCAAGGGCCCCUAUUUGGCAUGUGGGAAAUAUUAAUACUGUAUUUAUAAGACCACAAAGGAAUUAUGAGCUAAAUUAGAGAGAUAGUUGUGCUGCUUAGAGAAAAACUUCCAUGUAUCCCAUGACCCCAUCCCUCUUACCCUUUCUUGGUCAAUCUUUCAAAAAGAAAAAUGCAUUUCCUGCACUCUGGUUGAAAUGGUUGCUUGCCAUCAUGGAGAUUCUAGAAAAACCGACAAUAGUUAGCAGUGAUGGAGUCCUUGCUAUGUUUUAGCACAGAGACUGUGCUAAGCACUUCUCAUGCAUUAUUUUAUUUCAUUCUAGUGGCCCAUAGGGUUAGUACUAUUAACAUACCCAUUUUAUAAUGAGGACAUUUUGACUCUAAAAUGUUAGCUGAUUCUUGGCCUGGAUUCUCAAAGCUAAAGAGAACUGUGAAGUAAACAUUAAGAACCACAUGAUCUGUUUCCAGAGCCCUCAAACCUCUGAACAUAUUGGUUUAGAAUAAACUACUUCAUAUCACAGCCUCUAUCACCAUUAUACCUGGAUCCUGCUUAAUCUAGAAGCCAUAGAUGGAAAUUGUUAUCGUUGGAAAAACAAUUUUCACACUCAAGUA
rnacentral:lncRNA from 1 species